GCUUUUGCGAGUGAAGUGUUGUCGAGGAACUGAGGAUCGCUACACUGGUCGCUUUUUUUUGGAAGGGAUCGAUUCGAAGCGGCGACGUUUUAAGGAUGUGGGCCAGGUGGGACCGACUUAAAUUAAGAGAACAAAAUUAAACAUAAUAAUAUGAGAAGAAACCAUCCUCUGUGCGCAACUCGUCUCCCAAUUUAUUUUUACCCAUUUUAAUUUUCAUUUUCUUUGACUUUGACUCCAGAAACAACGGAAAUCGGGGGUGGGCUCAAGAAAAGUAUUAUGAGGACGGGAACGGAGUAUAAAAACAUGAGAAAGACCGAAGACUUUUGUUCAAAAUGAAAGACGAAAGCAAACAAAGUUCAAAAAAGCCAAAUUGAAAUCCGAUUUUGAAGUCCGUCGUCUGCAAAUUUCCAACACAAACAAAACAGAAGAAGACGGCCGUGUAAACAUGCUACUCAGUUAAACCUUUCCUUAAGUAUUCCUCCGCGGUUUCGCCCAGGAUAAUAACCCUGUGGCUGUUUUUUUUUUCUUUUUUUUAUAGAUUUAGUUAGUGGUCGUGGAUGGGCCAGUCAUUUUCGACGGCGAAACUCACUAGCCGUCGAGAUUGUAACCAUAGCCAACGGUCAAAAUCGAAAUCAACGGCCAUAAUCUGCCCGAUGCAAGUUGAGGAAGCUGAAGAGCUUGACCGAAGAAACAUAAAUGGAUUAUCGGAUUUUAUCUCGGAUCUACCCGACGAGUGUUUGGCUUUCAUUUUUCAGUGUCUUAGUCCCGGUGACAGGAAAAAAUGCUCUCUUGUUUGCUGGCGGUGGUUGAGGAUUGAAGGACAGAGCCGUCAUCGACUCUCCCUCAACGCUCAAUCAGAUCUGCACCCUCUGAUUCCUUCAAUAUUCUCUCGCUUCGACGCUGUCACGAAACUGGCUCUGAAAUGUGACCGUAGAUCUGUUAGCAUCGGCGACGAAGCGCUUGUUCAAAUCUCCGAGCGUUGCCGGAACUUGACUCGCCUUAAGCUCCGGGCUUGCCGUGAAUUGACCGAUACAGGCAUGUCGGCUUUCGCUAAAAACUGCAGGGGUCUAAAGAAGCUCUCUUGUGGAUCUUGCACUUUUGGAGCAAAAGGCAUGAACGCAGUGCUCGACAACUGUCCAGCUCUUGAGGAACUCUCCGUGAAACGACUUCGGGGCCUCACCGACGGGCUUGCAGUGGAGCCGAUAGGGCCAGGGGUGGCGGCGAAGGCGUUGAAAACGAUUUCCUUAAAAGAGCUUUACAAUGGACAGUGCUUUGGUCCGCUUAUUAUUGGUGCAAAGAAUCUGAAAUCUUUAAAACUUUUUAGAUGCUCUGGUGAUUGGGAUAAGAUUUUCCCUCUUAUAGUGGACCGGGUCACGGGUAUGGUAGAGAUCCAUAUGGAGCGGAUCCAAGUCAGUGAUGUCGGUCUCGCGGCCAUAGCCAACUGUUUAAAUCUAGAAAUUCUUCACCUCGUUAAGACUCCUGAGUGUACCAACUUCGGACUCGGAGCUGUUGCUGAGAAAUGUAAAUUGUUAAGGAAGCUUCACAUUGAUGGAUGGAAAGCGAAUCGAAUAGGUGACCAAGGAUUAAUCGCUGUUGCCCUAUCUUGCCCUAAUUUACAAGAGUUAGUUCUUAUUAGUGUUAAUCCGACGAAACUGAGUUUGGAAAUGUUAGCUUCGAAUUGUCAGAAUUUGGAACGGUUAGCUUUAUGCGGUAGUGAUACGGUUGGUGAUGCGGAGAUUUCAUGUAUUGCUGUGAAAUGUAUAGCUUUAAAGAAGCUUUGUAUUAAGAGUUGCCCUGUUUCAGAUCAUGGAAUGGAAGCGCUUGCUAGUGGUUGCCCGAAUUUGGUUAAAGUGAAACUGAAGAAAUGUAGAGGAGUAACUUCGGAGGGGGCUGAUUGGUUAAGAGCAAUUAGAGGAUCACUUGCGGUUUAUUUGGAUACAGGGGAACAUUUAGAUGCAAGUGCCAGUGAUGGUGGGGCACAAGAUAAUGGAGUUGAAUUUCCGCCGGGGGUGGCUGGUCAAAUUGGAGCUCCUACUAUUGCUUCGAGCAGCACGGGUCGAUCAACAUCAUUUAAGUUGUUAGGGCUUUUGAGUGGGAGGAGUUUUGUGGCUAGCACUUUGAGGAGGUUGGCAAGUAGUAGUGGUAGUUCUCGCAGUUAAUAUGGAUUGGAGGAGGCGAAGUUGCAAUGUAAAAAGAGAGGGAAAAAAAGCACUCUUGAUCUUUAACUAUAUACUUUAUUUUGUGUUAUGGUAUCCGAUUCCCUUGUUUAAGUAUUUAAUUCAAUGCUGUGUGCUGUUGAUUGCCUUUUGAAUUGAAUCUACAUCUUCAAAAGUGAUAGUUUCUCUUUUAUUUUCCCAUAUUUCUGUUGAGUCUUAGCUUUUUGCUAUGAGUUUCUUUAUUUAGCUACCUUUUUUAUUUUUUGGUCACAAAUAUAAUUAUCCUGUAUGGAAUUUGAAAAAGCAGCACCCUAAUGCAUUAUUGAGUAUGUUACAAAGCUCAUUAGAUAGGUGUAUUUGUAUUUAAACUACUUGACUUCAUGAUUUUCAGCAUCAAAUUGUUGAAUAUCAGUAAAAUAAUGAUAGAAGUUUUCUGCUUUAUGGUCAAUUUAUAUGUCAAUUGAAUACAGAUAUGUCUAUUGUCUGUUGCUGAAUUGUUUCAAACAUGAUCAAAGGUACAGGUCAGGAGUUAGAACCUCGAACCAAAUUAGACCUUUUGAUUUGCAAUUUGCAUUUCUAUGCAAGUGAAAACUGAGUUUGAAACAUGAACAUUUUGAUUCUUUGGAAAGUGUAGUUCUUUUAUGUUAUUUUUGGUUUGAUGAGAAAAGGUUUGAUAGGUAGAUAUUAUGAAUGCUACUGUUGCAUGACAUUAGUAAAUUCUCUUAUGAACUAUUUUUUUUUUAAUCUCUAUUUGAAUUAUUAUUAGUUAUUGCUUUGUUGUUUUCCAAGCCAUUUUUUAAUGGUUUGUGAUGCUUCUGGUUGAUUUUAUUUUACCAUGACUUACUGAUAUGCGAUAUUAAGUGAUUUUAUUGGUUGGAAACUGCAUUAGGAAAUUCAUUGUGAGACAUUAUAUGCUGUCACGUGUCAUCUCAUUUUUUGCUUUGAAAACGGAAAGUUAGCUAGCAUGUAGUUAACUUUACUCAUUCACUUAUUAUCUAACACCUAAUUGGGGGGUUAAUUAAUUUCAUCUCACAUGUAAGUAUAUGCAUAUGGAUAAGUAGUUAAAAGUGAGGAACUGUUAUCAUAUUACAUUUGCAUCAUCUUAAUGUUUGUCUAGAUAGUAGCAUUUUUCAAUGUUCUCUUAAUUAUUACAGAGGCACAGGUUUCUGAAAUUUUUGACAAUUUCUGGUUUUGGCUGUGCUCUUAUAAAUCUAGCCUGGAUGUAUUGCAAUGAUUAUCAACUUGUUUGGGAUAUCAUUUUAUAUUGUUAUCUGACGAGGUACAGCAAAAAAAAAAAAAAAUCAAGAUCAAUGUGAAAAAUGAAAUUAGGUAUAUUAUUCAGAUGCUAUCAGAAAGUUCCAAUUGAAUCAGGUGGGAGGGCAAUGAUUUUUGGACAAACUGAUUGGAUGAUUGCCUCGCAACUGACUGCAACUCUUUACAUGGUGCUCCUUUAUCUACACAACCGAAAGUGAGUAUUGCCAGGAAAGUUGGUUUUCACCAAGGGAUGGUAUAGAUUAUCCUUAACAUUGCAGCAGACUGGAUCUGAGCCAGCAAAUAUCCUUCAGCUGAUAGAAAUGCUUUCUAUCCCUUGGAACCGGCACUUGGGUUUUGUUCUGUUCGUAACAAGACAUUCGGAUGCUAACUCUUGCAAGCUGAAAAACCAUGGCUUCAGGCAUAUUAUCUAGCGAGGCUGGAAAGCUUGGGCCGCAGUGAACCAUCAAUAUCUUUGUUUUUUAGAAUCCUGAAAAAAGAUGAAAGAGUAAGAAAAAGCCAUUGUAGACUGUAUAGUUGAUCGUUAACGAACAGACACAGGCAUCGGGACCAACAAUGAAGAUUUCAUGGUGAACUGCUCACAAGUCUUCAAUUCAUAAAAUUCUAAAUUACAUCCUAAAAGAUUGACUCGUUGUGGUUUAUUCAUUGACUACAACCUUUACUGCCAAAAACAUUUGAGUACAAGGAAAUGUAUGUGCAGGACUUGAUGCAAUGCAAUAUAAGAUCUGACCCGAGAGGAGUGAAGAAUAUAACAUAAAUG